UUCGAAAACUUUGUCCGCAGACCGAAAGCGAGUAUCAGAAACCAUGGAGAUUAAUACGCAGUGAGGUUAGAUAACGUAAUCAGUUGAGUGCUGUUCUUAUAUAUUGAAUGAAAGUUUUUCAUAUUUUCCUCCGUUUCGUUUUGUCAAGUACAAAACGUCGUGUCCUCCGCAAUGCUCUCGAUGCCUUUUUGCAGCAGAGGGCUUAGAACAUGCAGAACAAAUGUUCUCGAUAUCAAGGGUUUUGAUGAUUCACUAAUAUGUCAAUGUUUAGUCUAACAUAGUGACAUCAACAGUUUUUUUUGCUGCUGCUCUGAAUGGACAUAUUAAUCGAGAUAACCAUGGUUACAUAUCUCAGCCCCAAGCAAUUAGGAACCCGGCAGGUGAGAAUCUUUAUAAUGUAUGUUCAUUCUUCGUCGUGUUUGAUUUGCAUCUCAUACGCAGUGAAGAUGCUCUCUCGGCUCAUGAUUACGCAUUUUUUAUAUUUGGUAUCAUGGUAGACACACGAACUCUCUUAUUCAUCAUAAACUGAAGUGUAUGGUUUAAUUUUUCAGCGAAUCUCCCUGAAAAUAAUCAAGUCAUAAAUCAAACAGAUUACAGUCUCAGGUUAAUGGCAUUCAAUUUUAUCAGACAUCGGUGAAUUGUCAAUCUUUGUUUUAUGAUGGAAGAUUUUUUUGUCAUUUGUAGUACCUGAGACGUGAUAUGCUAUUUUUGUGUUUUUUUGCUGUGCGAAGAUGUUGUUUUCCUGUUUUAAGCUCUCAAUUGAGCCUAACAUUCUAAGCUGUUGAACCUUAUUUUUUGCAUUUGUAACUCCGUUGAGCUGCAUUAAGAUACAAGGCACCUUUACCACUUAAACCAUGGAAGGAAGAGGCUGACGACAUUCCUGUGCUGCAACUUGAAGUGAUAAGUCUGCAAUCGUUUUAAGCCUUAUUUUGAGCGUUUCUUUAAGAUUUUCUAUGAUUUUAAAUAUGUAAGUUGAUAUGCAGGUUCUAAGAUGGAUGAUAACCCGGGUUCAAGUGAGUCGGGUUAGUUCUACAUGGUUUUCUGAAAAAUAUCUAACUAUGCAGCAUCUCCUUUUCUUACCGUGUAAAAGUUUUCCAUGGCCUGUAAACGAUGUUGGACUAUCAUGUCAAUCUAAUGUGGUUUCUAAUUGGCUAAACCUACAUCAUUUAUCUUCUGUGUUAUUUAUUCACUAUCAGAUCACUUACCUAAAGCUCCUGGUACAGCUCUACAUCAGUUUCUUAGCAAUAGGACAGAGAGAAUUCAAAGACAAAAAACUGAUCAACAACCGCAGGAUGCUCGGUCACAAGCUUCAAUAAAUAGCGCAUAGGGUAGAUGUGAAUGCUGCAGAUCAUACUGGACAAACAGUAUUACACUGGAGUGCGGUGCGGGGAGCUGUUCAGGUUGCAGAGAUCUUGCUCCAAGAGGGUGCCUGUGUUGGUGCUGCUUACAUGUAUGGAUAUCAGCUCAUGUGCUUGGCAGAUUUGGAGCUUGAUUCUAUAAAUCUGUAAGAUUUAGCAGCGAGAAUUAACAAGGUUGUUAUGCUGGAGUUUCUAUCUCAUGGAAGUAUAUGUGUACUCAGUCUCUUAUCUAGACAUUGGUUCAGGCUCGAUCCUUGCAACACUAGGUCACCAGAACUCCCUGGAGUGGAUGCCUUUGUUCUUGACAUUCAUGACGUUGGGAGUUAUUAAGCACCCUGACAUCUCCUCAGUUCUUGGUGUUGUUUAUAUUUUUAGUCGUUAUUUUUAUUUCAAAGGAUAUUCCACUGGCGAUCCUAAGAAGCGUCUAUCUGUCGGCCAGACAUUUGACACUUUUUUGGGGGCGGACUGAUGGUUGCUGGAAAUAGGAAACGGUAAUGGGAACGAACUCUUUUCAGUGGACAGUUGUUAUGAAUUGUUUUGAAUCAAAUACUGCAUCACAUUGUACAAAAUUAAGCUCUACAUUAGCCUUUAUGUAUUUCUAUAUUCACUACUUAUAUGGGUUGAGAAGGCACAGAGACUUGCAACUCAUGUUUAUCAGCUUAUUGCACUCUGCAAGUUUCUGCAAGUUUUUUGGUUUGCAGAAUUUCUCUGGGACACGAUCUUUUUGAUAGAAAAUAUCAAAUGAAAUGAAUAAAAAAUUG